rnacentral:piRNA from 1 species
UGCCAAUGGAGGGCCAUAGAUUGGUGCUA